GCAUCUGUUAAUGGACAUAUAGGAAGACACAGAGAAAUAGUUCUGUGGCAAAUGGGAUGGGAUCAGGAGGCCAAGAAUGGGAAGAAGGGGAUGUGAAAUGAUUUGAUGUCAUAUACCAACUAACCACAAAGAAUGCUAUCUUUAUAUGUCACAAACAUGAACUAAAUAAUGAUAAUAAUAUUAAUAAUCAUAAUGAUGAAAUGGGGUAAGGAAAUCUAGAGCUGCUGGGGGAGUGGUGGAUGAGAAGGGAAGAGAUAUGAGAAGAAUCAAAAUGUUAAAUACAUAUGCCUGCUCCCUAAGAUGAAUGGGAUCAUGUACUUCAAGCAUGUCUUAGUUAAAAAGCUUAAUAUUUAAAUACUGACAUAUUUAGAGAUAUUUCAUACUUUAUUGUGCUUCUUAAAGAUUUAUUGGCAGAUAUGUUGAAAAAUAUGUAAAGAUGCCUUUGGGGCUGGGAACCAACCAGCAUGUUGCAGGAUUCUUUAAUUUUGAACUCCACAUGAACAUUUAUCUUUGUCGUAGGCUCCAACCAAAUGUAUUGACACUGCCUAAUGUAAGUAGCAAUCCAUUGCAUGCACUUUCAUCAGUUAGCCAUGGCAAUGAUUAUGUGAUUUUGUGAGGGAGAGGAAGUAGGAAUACACAUGCAUCAAGACCUGUACAUCUAUCAAGUUGCAUUAGCAAAGGAAAACGAACAUUUUUGCUGUCUGGAUCCUGCCAUGGCUGUUGGUAUACCAUACCGCUUGCCAAAACAUAUUCAUAGACCUUGUUUUAGUGCAUUGUAGCUGACUAUUCCAAAAUUCCUUAGGUUUUUUCACUUUAUGAAAUAAUUAUUUCUUACAGUUGUGAAACCUAGAAAAUCCAGCAUCAAGGCACUGGCAACUGAAAUAUCUAAUGUGAUAUUGUUUACAUAUGCUGACUUCUACCUCAGUUCUCCCAAGGCAAAGAAGUGAACAAGAUGUCUUUGGCCUCUACUUUAGAUGCUUUAUUAUUAUUCAGGUUUCUUAACUAAUGACACAAAUAAUUUUCAGACUGCACUUCCACAUACCAUCACCUUUGGAAUGAGGUUUUAAAACAUGUAUUUUGAGGUACCUAGACAUUCAGAACACAGAAACCAUUAUAAGGUUAUAUUGUGUGUUGAGUAGUGGAUUGCAUGAUGUUUUAUGUGUCGUCCAGCAGACAUGCCAAUAAAAAAUACACACUUAGAAGUAUUUUGAGGACAAAUUUAAGCAGUCUGUUUCAAAUAAAUUCAGAAGAUACAAUGCGAUUGUAAAUGUCAUGAACUGAAUUAGGCACAAAAUGUUACUAAAGGAAAGACAAGUUUGAUCACCACUUAUUUUGAGAUCCUCAAACUGAAUAUUAAAAGAAAAUGACAGAAAGAUUUUUACCAGGCUCAUAGCCCAUGUUAUCAAUUCCUGCUGCUUCCCAAGAAGAUUAAGCUCUUACAAACAUAGCUAAAAAUUCUUACAGAGGACAGAAAAAGAAUGUUGAAGAUGCACUAUCUGAGGUCAUCAGAGGAUCAACAUAGAAUCUGCAAUGUGAUGGGGAAUUUCAAUUUCACAAAAACAGGAAAUUCCAAGAGUUUGGCCCACAAAUGCAGUGUUUCUCUUCUACACCAUAAAUGAAGGACAGGUAAGCAUGUGUGAGAUUAAAAAGUAACGGAAAGCUAUCCUGAUGCUAUUUAUAUGUCAUUCUCAUGUUGAUAAUGUCAUCGUACUCAUCAGAGAAAAGCACUCAUAUGCUCAUCAGAUUUUAGAGGACCCUUAGCUCAGUUGUUAUCAUUACAUAUUCAGUUUGCAACAGGAAUUUUAGGGAACAUACUAAAUGUCACAAAGGGUUACUGAUUCGAAAUCUCAGACUUGAGACAUUUGCAAACCCACAUUACAAGUAUGUCUAUAGUUAAUUUUGAAUUUCUACAUUAGUAUAGACUGAAACCUCAGUUGUUGUCAGUACCCAUUUAUUGUUUUUUUUCUCAGUCGAUUUCAUGAUAGUGUGAUCCAAUGAGAUUCAAUUCUUUGGUAUACUUUUUUAUUUACUUAAAAUAACUUUGUUGUAUCACACAAACAUAUCAAACAUCCAAAGCUAUAAUGACAUGGUUGAAUGAAAAGAAACAAUAUGUCUAGGAAUCCUCAAAAGGUUUGUACAAUGAGUGACUCAGCAGAGCUUUUAAUAGAUGAUGUGCACCUACAUGGGAAGUGACUGCAAUGCAAUAUGUGCUUUGAUUACUAAGGCAUCUUUAUGAAGGCCUUGAUGGAUGUAAGUGCUCUUUGUAUAAGAAUAUUAUAGGAAGAGCAAUAUCAUGGAGAACAUAAUUGCAGAGAAAAUGUGUGGAUCCAAUUCUAUGCACAUUUAAUGUAAACCUCAGUACACUUUUAACUGAAGUAUUUGGGUGUAAUUCUACUCUCUUCUGCCCUCAUUUUGUCUUUCUCUGACCCAUGUGCAAUGACUCAUGAAUUGUUCUUCUCUCAUCUGAUCAUUACCUCUAUCUCUAUUUGUUCUGCAAUGGAGAAUCUCUUGUGAGUUUAUCUCAUCAUAUCCAAAAUGUACUUAUGCUAUUUUGGAUCCUAUUAUGAGAUGCCUUUGUCUAUGCCCCUCUGCUGUUUGAAUUGAAAUAUUACAAAAUAAAGGAAAUGUUCUGGCUUAUCUCUA